rnacentral:misc_RNA from 1 species
UUUGUAUUUGAAUUAUACUUUGUUCUUUCUUGAUAUUGCUAUAAACAUGCUGAUCGAUUCAUUAACGUAAUAUAGUUGUUUGUUCGAGUUUGAUUUAUGUACGUGUUUACUUUCGCUAGGCAGAGUGAGCACCGCGGAGUCGGGCUGCUCGUGAGUCCGGGGAUGUUUGGCGGCCGAGCUGUGGCUGUGGGUUCCCCCGUGACGGACUGUGUGGACGGAGCGAUCUUCGUGAUGAGAUCGACUUGUUGAGCGCCGGAGACGUGAACAGCCGUAACGGACAGUUUCGGACUGCCUCGAGAGCUGAUGCAGACGAAUAGAGGUCCAGUUGACGGCACAGCGUGUGUGACUACGAGGGCGCUCGGUUUGGCCCACGGCUGAGGCCGUGGC